GCUCUCUGCUCGGUCGCUGGUAUCCCGCUUGGGAAUUAAAAGGGAAUUCGCCGCAGGCCAUUCGGCCUGCGAACCGAAACUGCCCCCGCAACUGUAGGCGGCGAGCGACGGUCCGACAACGCCACUGGGCAUUUGCCUGGGAAGGCCGGACCGCCGGACGACCCGUCAGUCAGGAGACCUGCCGGCAUGAAACCACCAUC
rnacentral:ncRNA from 1 species